UACGGAGGGGGCUAGCGUUGUUCGGAAUUACUGGGCGUAAAGCGCACGUAGGCGGCUUUGUAAGUUAGAGGUGAAAGCUCAGGGCUCAACCCUGGAAUUGCCUUUAAGACUGCAUCGCUUGAACAUCGGAGAGGUAAGUGGAAUUCCGAGUGUAGAGGUGAAAUUCGUAGAUAUUCGGAAGAACACCAGUGGCGAAGGCGACUUACUGGACGAUUGUUGACGCUGAGGUGCGAAAGCGUGGGGAGCAAACAGG
rnacentral:rRNA from 1 species